GACGAACGCUGGCGGCGUGCUUAACACAUGCAAGUCGAACGGAAAGGCCUCUUUCGGGGGGUACUCGAGUGGCGAACGGGUGAGUAACACGUGAGUAACCUGCCCUUGACUUUGGGAUAACUUCAGGAAACUGGGGCUAAUACCGGAUAGGAGCUCCUGCUGCAUGGUGGGGGUUGGAAAGUUUCGGCGGUUGGGGAUGGACUCGCGGCUUAUCAGCUUGUUGUUGGGGUAGUGGCUUACCAAGGCUUUGACGGGUAGCCGGCCUGAGAGGGUGACCGGCCACAUUGGGACUGAGAUACGGCCCAGACGCCUACGGGAGGCAGCAGUGGGGAAUAUUGCACAAUGGGUGGAAGCCUGAUGCAGCAACGCCGUGUGCGGGAUGACGGGCUUCGGGUUGUAAACCGCUUUCGCUCAUGACGAAGCUUUGUGUGACGGUAGUGGGUAAAGAAGCACCGGCUAACUACGUG
rnacentral:rRNA from 1 species